AACCCAUGGUUGGGAUAUUUCCUCAGAAACACUUGGAAACGCUCCUAUGCCUCAUAAAAAGCUUCCUCUGCACCUUGUCUAAAUGUUGAAAUUUCACAAAUCACUCC
rfam:Lupinus angustifolius cultivar Tanjil contig_9571, whole genome shotgun sequence.